rnacentral:rRNA from 1 species
GAUGAACGCUGGCGGCGUGCCUAAUACAUGCAAGUCGAGCGAACAGACGAGGAGCUUGCUCCUCUGACGUUAGCGGCGGACGGGUGAGUAACACGUGGAUAACCUACCUAUAAGACUGGGAUAACUUCGGGAAACCGGAGCUAAUACCGGAUAAUAUAUUGAACCGCAUGGUUCAAUAGUGAAAGACGGUUUUGCUGUCACUUAUAGAUGGAUCCGCGCCGCAUGAGCUAGUUGGGAAGGUAACGGCUUACCAAGGCAACGAUGCGUAGCCGACCUGAGAGGGUGAUCGGCCACACGGGAACUGAGACACGGUACAGACACCUACGGGAGGCAACAGUAGGGAAUCUUCCGCAAGGGGCGAAAGCCUGACGGAGCAACGCCGCGUGAGUGAUGAAGGUCUUCGGAUCGGAAAACUAUGUUAUUAGGGAAGAACAAAUGUGUAAGUAACUAUGCACGUCUUGACGGUACCUAAUCAGAAAGCCACGGCUAACUACGUG